rnacentral:rRNA from 1 species
UACGUAGGGUGCAGGCGUUAAUCGGAAUUACUGGGCGUAAAGCGCACGUAGGCGGAUUUGUAAGUCAGGGGUGAAGUCCCGGGGCUCAACCUCGGAACUGCCUUUGAUACUGCAAAUCUCGAGUCCGGAAGAGGUGAGUGGAAUUCCUAGUGUAGAGGUGAAAUUCGUAGAUAUUAGGAAGAACACCAGUGGCGAAGGCGGCUCACUGGUCCGGUACUGACGCUGAGGUGCGAAAGCGUGGGGAGCAAACAGG